CCGCCAACCGCCAACCGCCAUUCAAGUUUUUUCUCGAAGCAGCGGCGAUGUGAAGAAAAGAAAAUGUGAAUGCUGAAACAAAAAAAGCGGAUCAGAAUGCAUAAAAAUACAACCUCAUAAAAGAAAAAUGAUAUACGCCAUUACACUAGGGAAACUAAAUCACGUAAAAUGUUUGCGAAGGAAAUAUACAAAGAGUCACUGAUGGGAGAGCCUCGGGGAGAGCAGCAUAUUCUCUGGUCCAGACAUGGACAUGGACAAAAAUUCUACAUCACACAAAAAAUGCAUCAGAGGUUGCAAUUGCAUCAACAAGAACUUGUCAUAUGGAGAAAAUUUAAAAAAAAUGUGAUUGACUACAACUCAGUGAUAGAAAACUAUAAUAACUAUAAAAGAUGUGAAAUAAAAUACUAUUAA